CCUGGGCUUGCAGCCAUGUGCGGCCUGCCAGCAUUCCCCGCCCAGUCAGGCAGGUGUAAUGCUCUCUCCCCGGGCGCUACCAGCAAACGAUGCUCUCAGGGUGGGUGCAGGGCCUCAGCUGCAGGGGCCCCUCACUGCUCCAGUCCCCACCUCAUCUGCUCCCAGGGGUUGUGCGGCAGUGCAGUGCAGGCAGCAUGGUGCUGAAUGGGCCCAGUGCACGGCAGGCCAGGCCUUGUCUCACUACGCUGCCUGGCGUGGCCAUUGGAGCCGGAGGACAGAGGCGGGGCUGGUGCAAGUCACUUACCAGCAAUUGCUCGGCCACACGAGGGGUGAAAAGGUCAGCGGCAGCUCCCCUUCCCAGCAUGCUGCCUUCUGGCUGGAGUCACACAUGCCUGCAGGCUGCAGUGUCACAGGGCCAGAGAGGCCGGCUCACGUGGAGAAUAUGGCACGGCUCUGCCAGCAGCAUGGUGGGAAGGAAGAAUAGGCCUGGAGAAAACAAAGUAUCCAACUUACAUUUACCCAAAGGAGCUGAAGAACUUAAUGAGAUCCGCCUUCCCAGCAGGGGUCUGCGACUACCCUGACCCAGACCACAGCAAGGUGGUACACGUGACGCUCGAAGACCUGCACCUGCUCAAUCACCCCGAGGCAUGGAGUGCACAGCCCUGUCUGCAAUAGAACUUCUUCAGGCAUCAGAGCAUUUACCGGAACAGGAUGGAAUGAGGCAGCAGCAAGAGAGUUAUUUUCACCCUGCCCAGGAAUGACGUACAUAGGGCUCCAGCUACGUCCCUCCCUCAAAACAGUCCUCCCAACUCACCCCAUUACAGCCAAGUCUCACUGGCAGGUCUCGAGCUCUCUCCCCAGGAGCCCACCCUAUGAGCAAAAACACCUUUGUACCCACUUGCAGCCACCCCCCCUUUCUCCAAAGGGCAAACUGCUGAGUGAGUUCCCAUUUCUCUUACCUGUCACUGUGGCCCUGGCUUGAUCUUCCACCCAGCUGCUAUUCCCCUAGCGAGAUCUGCUGCCAGAGGAAAGCAGCACAGCUUGCAUCCUUCACUCCACCGUGGAAAGAGAAGUUCUUGACUGGUCCCAAAAGUGACAACAGAAGAGCUGCAUGGAGGUGGGGGUGAAUGCUUUUCCAGCAGCCCAAACCCAGGGGGCAGAAUAGCCCCAGCAGAUGUACACUAUACCCUUUCCACUGAUACAGGAGGUGAGGUAGGUCUGAGGCAGAGCCUUAAGCUGUGAACGCUCAUUUCCACUGUCCUGGUCUAGGAAUUGGUACAGCUAUGCUCUCAGGGGUGUGAAAAGUCCGCUCCCCGGAAAGACAGCGUUAUACUGACCUAACCUCCGAUGUAGUCAGCACUAGGUCACGAGAAGAAGUCUUCUGUUGACCUAGCUACUGCCUCUCAGAGAUAGAUUACCGACGCUGAUGAGAGACACCCUUCCGGUAGCAUGGGUAGCACCCAGGGAGUGCAUCCAUUGCCAGCUGUUAGUCACAGAGCGACCAUGGGCAAGUCAUUUCACCUUCUGUGUUUGUUUCCACAACCACACUUAUCUGACAAAAGUAGUUCAUGCUUUGAGAGCCUUGUAUGAAAAAUGCUGGAGAAGUGCAGUGCUAAGUAUUCCCUACUCAUUACUGUUCUGACAAGAGGAUGUGUUGUGAAUUUCAUUUUUGUUAAUAAAGGCUUU
rnacentral:lncRNA from 1 species